UACAGAGGUCUCAAGCGUUGUUCGGAUUCAUUGGGCGUAAAGGGUGUGUAGGUGGCGCGCUAAGUCGGGUGUGAAAUUUCGGAGCUUAACUCCGAAACUGCAUUCGAUACUGGCGUGCUUGAGGACUGGAGAGGAGACUGGAAUUCAUGGUGUAGCAGUGAAAUGCGUAGAGAUCAUGAGGAAGACCAGUGGCGAAGGCGGGUCUCUGGACAGUUCCUGACGCUGAGACACGAAGGCCAGGGGAGCAAACGGG
rnacentral:rRNA from 1 species